AACUUUUAACAACGGAUCUCUUGGUUCUCGCAUCGAUGAAGAACGUAGCAAAGUGCGAUAACUAGUGUGAAUUGCAUAUUCAGUGAAUCAUCGAGUCUUUGAACGCAACUUGCGCUCAUUGGUAUUCCAAUGAGCACGCCUGUUUCAGUAUCA
rnacentral:rRNA from 2 species